GGACUACUGGGGUAUCUAAUCCUGUUCGCUCCCCACGCUUUCGCUCCUCAGCGUCAGUAACGGCCCAGAGACCCGCCUUCGCCACCGGUGUUCCUCCUGAUAUCUGCGCAUUCCACCGCUACACCAGGAAUUCCAGUCUCCCCUGCCGCACUCCAGCCAGCCCGUACCGAAAGCAAACCCGCCGUUAAGCAGCGGGCUUUCACUCCCGACGCGACAAGCCGCCUACGAGCCCUUUACGCCCAAUAAAUCCGGACAACGCUCGCACCCUACGUAUUACCGCGGCUGCUGGCAC
rnacentral:rRNA from 1 species